AUCAUGAAGCUGUAAAAUCUCAAGUACAAGGAAAGGGAGAGAAAUUCAGAUUUACUUCCUGGCUACCAUCCUGAAGUUGCACUGGUGAUUUCUGUAGUACAUAUGUUUAAAUGUUGGUUGUCUUCAAAGAGGAAGAGGCAGACUGAGGAUACCAAUUGAGAAAUGAACUACUCUUCAGGA